GGUAACGUGGGACGAAUGGGGUGUUGUAGGCGGUGUGAGCGACAGAAGCACCAUGUUUUUUUUUUAAUUCAAUAACCAAAACGCACCAGGAAUUUCAUGGUGAGUGUUUGAUUGUUGUUUAGACUGCAGCUAGGAUGCAACUGUGCUUACCACCUUGCAGUUUUGGCUAUUUAUACAAAAAUUAAAGCAAUGCCACACCUUGCUUGUUCUUGUGCAGCAAUGGUUGAUAGUUGUAACACAGUUUCGAAAACAAGUAUGUGUACCAAAAAACUAUGGCAUGAUCGAGGAGUAUCUAACAAGGAAGUAAAUACCAUAUAUCACAAAUAUAUAUAAUUGGUAGGUCUAAAUAUCAACCAAUAUGGACAACAACUUGUUUUUAAUGGGAAUGCAUUUUAAUAAACAAUUAUUGCGUUUUUUUAAUAUUUAAAAUUUAUUCUUGAAAAGACUCAGUAACUUUUGACUAAAUUUGACUAUGUUAAAUAUAUGAUCUCCUAAUAUAAAAA